GACGAACGCUGGCGGCGUGCCUAAUACAUGCAAGUCGAACGAGAGCGACCGGUGCUUGCACUGGUCAAUCUAGUGGCGAACGGGUGAGUAACACGUGGGUAACCUGCCCAUCAGAGGGGGAUAACAUCCGGAAACGGAUGCUAAAACCGCAUAGGUCUUCGAACCGCAUGGUUUGAAGAGGAAAAGAGGCGCAAGCUUCUGCUGAUGGAUGGACCCGCGGUGCAUUAGCUAGUUGGUGAGGUAACGGCUCACCAAGGCCGUGAUGCAUAGCCGACCUGAGAGGGUGAUCGGCCACAUUGGGACUGAGACACGGCCCAAACUCCUACGGGAGGCAGCAGUAGGGAAUCUUCCGCAAUGGACGCAAGUCUGACGGAGCAACGCCGCGUGAGUGAAGAAGGUUUUCGGAUCGUAAAACUCUGUUGUUAGAGAAGAACAAGUGCUAAAGUAACUGUUAGCGCCUUGACGGUAUCUAACCAGAAAGCCACGGCUAACUACGUG
rnacentral:rRNA from 1 species